rnacentral:rRNA from 1 species
AUGUCAACUGGAGCCGUGUGUGCCGUCCUAUCGCGUAUGGUGGGCUGGGAGUCCGAGACCUGGAGCGCGCUGGCCUCGCACUACGAUUGCGAUGGCUCUGGUUCGCCCGCGUCGAUCCAGACCGUGCCUGGCAAGGUCUCGAUCUGCAGUUCUCUCACGAGGAGCGCGCGCUCUUCUUUGCCUCCACUACCAUGA